AAAGUCGUAACAAGGUAACCGUAGGUGAACCUGCGGUUGGAUCAUUACUGAUUUCUGCCUAGGUAGGUUGAGGCUCUGUCUCCCUACCGAAGCGAUACACACUUGUGCACUAUACUGUCUUUUGGGUCGUGGAAGUUGAAUUUGCUUAGCAAAGACGGCAACCGCGGCCCAGUUUUAUAAACCAAUUAAUUUUUUGUCUGAAAUAAUCUAGUAAUAGAAACAACUUUUGACAACGGAUCUCUUGGCUCUC
rnacentral:misc_RNA from 1 species